AGCCUCCUGUCCUCCGGGCUCUGCUGUCCAGCGUAGGGAUGCUGGCCGCGUCUCCAGGAGAUGCACAGCAGCUGAUGGUGUCCUGGAGGGGACCGGCGGCGGGUUGCUGGCUCCUCCUCUGAGACCGGGAACCGCUUACCUGGCCUCCCAGGCCUCGCUUUCCCCCACUCGUAGGGUGACCUGCUGGGUCCGCCCGGGGUCGGUAUCCACAGGUGGCGGAUCUUUUCCUUUCUCCUCUAGCUUUCAGGGUCACUGCCUCUUGAGCACCCCAGCAUGGUGAUUUCUGUCCUCCAUCCCUCCCUCACCCUGCCCCAACCUCCAGUCCAACCUUGAGCCUGCUUUCCUCCCAGCCCUACGGCUCUGUCAGUGCCCCUGAUGGCCCCCUCCGUGGGCCUUUCUCCCAACAGAGAGCAGUGACCUGGGCAGGGCUACUGCUUCACUGGUCAGCUCAGGGUCCCCUCCUGGACAUGGGUGCCCUAUUCCCACUCUUGGAGCAUCUUACUCCUGUCCCUUCUUCACACCCACCCCCUGGCCACCCCAGGGCCAGAGUCUGCCUGGUCACCUCUGCUGAAGAACACUGGGCCACCCUGGAGAGGGGAUUCUGAACGGAGAAAACUUACAGCAGCUUUUUAUCUCAGGACAGUUUCCUUAGAGGAGUGUCAGGAACCAGCCAAGGAACCUGGCAACGAUGGCCCAGCUACGUGAGGCCAACAGACGUGAUUACCACACAGGAUGUUGGGCAAGGGAGUUCCAGGAAGACCGGAGAGCAGAGGGACACCAAGCUCUCUGAGCCUCAGCGAAGAUUUAGGUCAUACCAGCAGAGUCUGGGUUGGACCUGGGCCAUUGUUUCGCUGUGUCCACCUUGGAAACCAGUUGAUCUUGCUAACUCCGACCCCAGCCACCAAGGGCCACUAGACACAGCUGGCCACCAGGACCGCCGUCACCAGGAACCAGGUGUGCCCGCGGCCCUGUGCCCCAGGAGGAGGGGAAACCCUGUGACCAGAUUGUCUGUGGUUUGUCGCAUGCUGCAUGAGGAAGGCCUCGGGGCAGGUCAUGGAGCGACUUAGGUUUGGAUUUUCCUUCCUGGUCUUUGAACUUGGAAUAGGCCAAAGCCAGGGUUAACUCAGCCAGCUUCAAACCAUGGAAAGUGAGGCCCGGCGAGAUGAAUGACUCACAGAGCUGUCUGUGGAGUUAGAAAUAAAGUCACGUUGCAGUUUCUAUUUUCAGGUACCACUCCCUAAGUCAGCGCUACUUGCUGGCUCCGUGCUUUUCGCAGGGGGUAGGAGGGGAGGGAACAGGUGCCGUAGAUUUCAGCCACAUCUAGAUCUUCCCAUCCCCGGACACGAGGUGUCUCAGAACUCUUUUUUUUUUUUUUUUUUAAUUUUUCACAAUUGGCUUCGUAAAGUAGUGAUGAUUUAGUUUUUAUUGCUGCCACAACAGUUUACCACAAUUAAGCGCAGGUUUAUUUUCUCACUGUUGCAGAGGUCAGAAGUCGGACCCGGGCCCCACUGGGGUGAGGUGCUACGUGGAAAAGCCAUUUUCUUGUUCACACAGUGCAUUAGGCACUUUCUGCUGCCCAGGGCAGAAUUCAGUGCCUUGUGGUUUUAAGAAUAAAAUCUCCAUUUUCCUUCCGGCUUCAGCUGAGAGUAUCCCAGCUAGGAAUAUCCUUGGUUUGUGGGGCCUCCCUCCAUCUGCUAGGCCAGCAAUGGAAGGUGGGGUGCCGAAAAUUCCUCCUUCUUUUAUCAGGGUCACCUCUGACUCGGCUGGGAAAGGGUCUCUGCUCACUGGACUGGAUUAGGGACAUCUGUGUAAUCCAAAAUACUUUCCCCAUCUCAGAAGCUGUACCCUUAAUCACCUGGACUCCUUUAAGGAGUUGUUACUUUUCCUACCACAAAUUAUAAAUUUACAGAUGAUUCCAACCCGCCCCCCUUGUGUGUGUGGGUGGGGGGUGGGGGUGUUCCUGGGAAUUGAACUUAGGGCCUUGCACGUGCUAGGUGUGUGCUGUACUUUUGAGCUCCAUCCCCAGCCCUUUUUAUCUUUUAUUUUGAGACAGGGUCUCACCAAGUUGCCCAGCCUGGCCUUAAACUUGUGAUCUUUCUGCCUGAGCAGCUGGAAUUACAGGCUCAACCCCUCUUGAUUAUGCAGCAUCUUUAUCACAUCAAUUUUUAUAAGAACCUUAUUGAGGUAAUAAGAUAACCUUAUUCGCAUUCUAUACAAUUCACUGGCUUAAAUGUGCAACUCAGGGGUUUUUAGUAUGUUCAGUUGUGUGACCAUCUCCACAACCAAACUUAGAACGUUUUCAUCACCCAGACAGGGAUCCCUGUACCCAUUAGAAUCACUGCCUAUUUUCCCCCAAACUUCUAAAAUCACUAAUAGGUUUUCUGUCUUUGUGGACUUGCAGAUUCUGGACAUUUCAUAGAAACAGACCGUACAAAUGAGGCCUUUUGUGUCUAAACAUACUUGUGUCUGUCUGUAUGUUUUCAAGGAUCCUAUGUAUUAUAGCAUGUAUCAGCAUUUCACCCCUUCUCAUUGCUAAAUAUAUUUCAUUGUGUAUUCUUAUGAAAUAAUAUUUAAUUGUGAUUAAUUUAAUUGUACUUAAAUGAAUAAUGUUUAAUUAAAUAAAUAAUGUUUAAUCGCGUGGA